rnacentral:rRNA from 1 species
UGAGGAAUAUUGCGCAAUGGGCGAAAGCCUGACGCAGCGACGCCGCGUGGAGGAUGAAGGUUUUCGGAUUGUAAACUCCUGUUAAGUGGGAAGAAACGACAAAAUAUAAUACAUUUUGUAACUGACGGUACCAUUAAAGAAAGCACCGGCUAACUUCGUGCCAGCAGCCGCGGUAAUACGAGGGGUGCAAGCGUUAUUCGGAAUUAUUGGGCGUAAAGGGUGCGUAGGCGGCGUAUUAAGUCAACUGUUAAAACCUCCAGCCUAACUGGAGAUCAGCAGUAGAUACUGGUAUGCUAGAGGAUGGAAGAGAGAAGUGGAAUUCUUGGAGUAGCGGUGGAAUGCGUAGAUCUCAAGAGGAACACCAAUGGCGAAGGCAGCUUCUUGGUCCAUAUCUGACGCUGAUGCACGAAAGCGUGGGGAGCAAACAGGAUUAGAUACCCUGGUAGUCCACGCCGUAAACGAUGAUCACUAGAUGUUAAUUCUGCUUGCAGAAUUAGUGUCGUAGCUAACGCGAUAAGUGAUCCGCCUGGGGGACUACGGUCGCAAGAUUAAAACUCAAAUGAAUUGACGGGGGUCAUAGCUGUUUCCUG